CUUACUCGCAGGUACCUAAGCACCCCCACCAGACCAGUACCCAUUGUUCCAGUUUAGAGGUCCCCAUCUGAUUAGGGACGGAGGGUCGCCCCAUCCCACCCCGCUAGCAACUCAGGUCAAACAAGCGAGUCUCCCCAGGGCCACCCCGAUAACUUCCGAUACGUUAUGCUGAGCUCAGACUAACUCGGAUAAUACUCAAACUAGAUUGUAA